AGGGGUAUAGCUCAGCUGGUAGAGCAGCGGUCUCCAAAACCGCAGGUCGCGGGUUCGAAUCCUGCUGCCCCUGCCA
rnacentral:tRNA from 3 species